rnacentral:rRNA from 1 species
GACGAACGCUGGCGGCGUGCUUAACACAUGCAAGUCGAGCGGUAAGGCCCUUUCGGGGGUACACGAGCGGCGAACGGGUGAGUAACACGUGGGUGACCUGCCCUCAGCUCUGGGAUAAGCCUGGGAAACCGGGUCUAAUACCGGAUAUGACUCCAUGACGCAUGUUGUGGGGUGGAAAGCCUUGUGCGGCUGAGGAUGGGCCCGCGGCCUAUCAGCUUGUUGGUGGGGNGAUGGCCUACCAAGGCGACGACGGGUAGCCGGCCUGAGAGGGCGACCGGCCACACUGGGACUGAGACACGGCCCAGACUCCUACGGGAGGCAGCAGUGGGGAAUCUUGCGCAAUGGGCGAAAGCCUGACGCAGCGACGCCGCGUGAGGGAUGACG